GCCAGCCCCAGCGCUUCAUGGUCAUGGGCUUGCAAAGCAGCAGGCAGCGGGAGUCCGGACCCGUUUGGCAAAGGAGGCUUGGAAGUGUCAUUUUUUAAGAAUGGGGAAUAGCCCACCUACUUCCAUGUGACUGUCUAAUGAUGCUACUUUGAACCAGAUCCAGGUAA